rnacentral:rRNA from 1 species
UGGGGAAUAUUGGACAAUGGGCGCAAGCCUGAUCCAGCAAUGCCGCGUGAGUGAUGAAGGCCUUAGGGUUGUAAAGCUCUUUCGCACGCGACGAUGAUGACGGUAGCGUGAGAAGAAGCCCCGGCUAACUUCGUGCCAGCAGCCGCGGUAAUACGAAGGGGGCUAGCGUUGUUCGGAAUUACUGGGCGUAAAGGGCGCGUAGGCGGCCUGUUUAGUCAGAAGUGAAAGCCCCGGGCUCAACCUGGGAAUAGCUUUUGAUACUGGCAGGCUUGAGUUCCGGAGAGGAUGGUGGAAUUCCCAGUGUAGAGGUGAAAUUCGUAGAUAUUGGGAAGAACACCGGUGGCGAAGGCGGCCAUCUGGACGGACACUGACGCUGAGGCGCGAAAGCGUGGGGAGCAAACAGAUUAGAUACCCUGGUAGUCCACGCCGUAAACGAUGAAUGCUAGACGUCGGGUGCAUNCACUUCGGUGUCGCCGCUAACGCAUUAAGCAUUCCGCCUGGGGAGUACGGCCGCAAGGUU